AACGAACGCUGGCGGAAUGCCUAACACAUGCAAGUCGAACGAGACCUUCGGGUCUAGUGGCGCACGGGUGCGUAACGUGUGGGAACGUGCCUUUAGGUUCGGAAUAUAUCAGAGAAAUUUGAGCUAAUACGGGAUGAUGUUUUUGGACUAAAGAUCUAUCGCCUUUAGAUCGGCCGGCGCUGGAUUAGCUAGUUGGUGGGGUAAAGGCCUACCAAGGCGUCGAUCCAUAACUGGUCUGAGAGGAUGAUCUGCCACACGGGUGCUUAGACAUGGCCCAGACUCGUACGAGCGGCAUCAGUGGGGAAUAUUGGACGAUUGACAAGAGCCUGAUCCAGCGAUCCCGCGUGAGUGAUCAAGUCCUUAGAGUUGGUUAGCUCCCUUACCCGACACUAUAAUGACAGUAUCGAGAGAAUAAGCGCCGACUAGCUCCGUA
rnacentral:rRNA from 1 species